rnacentral:rRNA from 1 species
UUGGACAAUGGAGGCAACUCUGAUCCAGCCAUGCCGCGUGAAGGAAUAAGGCCCUAUGGGUUGUAAACUUCUUUUAGACGGGACAAAACCCCUUUACGUGUAAAGGGUUGAUGGUACUGUCAGAAUAAGCAUCGGCUAACUUCGUGCCAGCAGCCGCGGUAAUACGAAGGAUGCAAGCGUUAUCCGGAAUUAUUGGGUUUAAAGGGUGCGUAGGCGGACUAAUAAGUCAGUGGUGAAAGCCUGCAGCUUAACUGCAGAAUUGCCAUUGAUACUGUUAGUCUUGAGUACAGUUGAGGUAGGCGGAAUGUGGCAUGUAGCGGUGAAAUGCUUAGAUAUGACACAGAACACCGAUUGCGAAGGCAGCUUGCUAAGCUGUAACUGACGCUGAGGCACGAAAGCGUGGGGAGCAAACA